GCACUACUGAAGAGUCCCACAAUAGGAUGAAACGGUUGUGCAGUGC
rnacentral:hammerhead_ribozyme from 1 species